rnacentral:rRNA from 1 species
UACGUAGGGCGCAAGCGUUAUCCGGAAUUAUUGGGCGUAAAGAGCUCGUAGGCGGCUUGUCGCGUCGGUUGUGAAAGCCCGGGGCUUAACCCCGGGUCUGCAGUCGAUACGGGCAGGCUAGAGUUCGGUAGGGGAGAUCGGAAUUCCUGGUGUAGCGGUGGAAAUGACGCAGAUAUCAGGAGGAACACCGGUGGCGAAGGCGGAUCUCUGGGCCGAUACUGACGCUGAGGAGCGAAAGCGUGGGGAGCGAACAGG